rnacentral:rRNA from 1 species
UAGAUACCCUGGUAGUCCACGCCCUAAACGAUGUCAACUAGCUGUUGGGGCCUUCGGGCCUUGGUAGCGCAGCUAACGCGUGAAGUUGACCGCCUGGGGAGUACGGUCGCAAGAUUAAAACUCAAAUGAAUUGACGGGGGCCCGCACAAGCGGUGGAGCAUGUGGUUUAAUUCGAUGCAACGCGAAGAACCUUACCUACUCUUGACAUGUCUGGAAUGCCGAAGAGAUUUGGCAGUGCUCGCAAGAGAAC